rnacentral:rRNA from 1 species
GACGUAGGGCGCAAGCGUUGUUCGGAUUCACUGGGCGUAAAGGGUGCGUAGGUGGCAUGGUAAGUUUGAUGUGAAAGCUCAGGGCUUAACCCUGAAAUGGCAUUGAAUACUACUGUGCUGGAGGUUUGGAGGGGGGACUGGAAUUCUUGGUGUAGCAGUGAAAUGCGCAGAUAUCAGGAGGAACACCGAUGGCGAAGGCAGGUCUCUGGGCCACUACUGACGCUGAGAAGCGAAAGCGUGGGGAGCGAACAGG